UACGGGAGUGGCAAGCGUUAUCCGGAAUUAUUGGGCGUAAAGCGUCCGCAGGCGGUCUUGAAAGUCUGUUGUUAAAGCGUGGAGCUUAACUCCAUUUAAGCAAUGGAAACUACAAGACUAGAGUGUGGUAGGGGCAGAGGGAAUUCCCGGUGUAGCGGUGAAAUGCGUAGAUAUCGGGAAGAACACCAGUGGCGAAGGCGCUCUGCUGGGCCAUAACUGACGCUCAUGGACGAAAGCCAGGGGAGCGAAA
rnacentral:rRNA from 1 species